rnacentral:lncRNA from 1 species
UACCAUAUUGAGAAAGAGUUCUCUCCCUCUAGAAUUGGGUAAAGCUCUCUCUCUGAUUUUUUAAUAUAAGUUUUUAACUUGUAUUUCUAAUUUUUCAGUUUCAAUAAUAAUCAAGUUUGUUUAUUUUAUUUUACUCUUGUACAAGUUUCAUUUACAUUACUCUGCAUUAUGGUAAGUUAUACCACCUAAUUUAUUUUAUUGCAUUUCAGUCACAUGGUUGGCUCUACCUCAUAAAUUUAUUUACUUGCAUUCUAACUACAUCUUUUGCAGGUUUAAUCAUAUUACUUACUUGCUUCCUAUCCUUAAAUUUAUUUAUUUUUUUCCCUAAUCCUUUAGGGGCUUCGCUUCCGGUCCCUUGGUAUCAGAACCAUGGGGAAAGUAAGGAUUAUUAUUCUUGUUUUUGACUUGCUUUUAUGUUGAUUUGAUAGAUUAGACUUCGAUCUAUAUACAUAAUGGCAAAAGAAGCAUUAUCUUAAGAAAUUCAAGCGAACAAUUGAUAAACCUUCUACAUCUACGUCUAAUGUCUUUUCCAAUCAUCCUCAAGUCUCCAAUACCUAUAAUAUUACUGAUGUCCUUUGUAGAUUCCCUUCCCAAAAACCUAAGGUAAUAACUAUCCAUGAUCUCCAAUCCGAGAUAACAUUCCUUAAGGAGGAAAUUUGAGAAAUUAAGGCUAAACAAGAGUUAGACCGUCUUGUUCUCCAACAGCUCUCAACCAAGCCCGAGGAGUUUAAACCGACCGAAGAUAAGCCAAUUCAAAAAAGAAGUUUUUUACCUCUCCCGUAUUUCCAUAAGAAAAUGGCACAUGAGAGUCAUCCUAAUUAUCAAUAAGUCCUUCACCUUGGAUAUUAUUGCCUUAUUUGAUAUGGGUGAAGAUCUCAACUGUAUACAAGAAGGACUCAUUCCAACAAAAUUCUGUGAAAAAACCUAAGAAGUUCAUAUAUAUAUAUAUAUAUAUAUAUAUAUAUAUAUAUAUAUAUGACUUAUUUUUUACAUGUUUCUUAAAUCUUAUAUUUUUCAUAAGUAUUUCUCUUAAGGUUGGCAUUGUGAUCCUUCCGGAUCUGCACUGUAAGAAGUUUUCCUGAGAAAAGUGGAUAUGAUAGUUCUCAGUUGGCUUGCACAUGGUUAGUGAUAAACUUUGAGUCAUACUAAAGAACAACUUCUUAAGAAAUAAUUGGAUUUAAUUAUUAUAUAUAAAAGAGGAAGUACUAUAUAUAUAUAUAUAUAUUCAAAUACAAAAUAGGAAGUACUAUAACAAAAGACUCGACAAUCUUCACUAGAUUGACAGACUCAAUACUAUUGUAUAAGACUAAAAGUUAAAAGACAAUGUAAGAUAUAGUAAAAAAAUAAAAUUCCUCAAGCAGCUCGUGCAUGCAAUGAUCUUGACUAGAAUGAUCCUGGGGUAUCUAUCAUGCUCGAGUCCAGAUACACGGAUACAUACGUGAAUGAGAAAAAAAAGACCAAAUAUAUCAGUGACUCAAGACACUAUGCAACAUCGCAACACCUCCUAAUUGACACAUGUAAGGCGUGUUUAAGGCUAUUUUGCAAAAUGACCUACGAAGCCAAAAUGUAGCUAUUAGCGCAAACUCAACAAAAAUGACCUCAAAGACAUGGACAUACCUCCACUGCUACAUUUUACACAACAUAGACUAGAUCUUUUGUAGGUGUUAGAGUGGGUUCGAGUCCCACAUUGGUUAUAUGGAUUCAAACACCCAAUAGUUAUAGCUCAAAAUUAAUUUGUAUAAAUGAUCAAUUUUGCAAAAACGACCAAUUUGGCUAUAAGUGGUUAAAGAUGCAAAUUCAAAAAGAAAUUACCUUAAAGUAUUAUGACUCCUAGUUGUGGAUUCAAUAUCUUAAUACAUGGGUUAUUGAACUACUUUUGCGAAAGUGACUCCAUUGUGCAAGAAUGGUCGAUGUUUUCAAAAGUAUCUAAACAUGCAAGAUAUGGCUAAGAUCCAGCAAAGACAAGAACCUUAGACUUGCUAGAAAGACCAGACCCUAUGAGCUGCCUGCGUAUCCUGCCCCAAAAGACGAGAAUCAGGUAUGCGUAGUUCGGGAUGACUGGACAUGGGAGAAAACAUUAAAAAAAAUAACACAAAUUUGGAAAAAAAUAAAUUUUGUCUUUUUGAAAAAUGUAAAAUCUUUUGGAUUUUAUUUCUCUUAUUUUUAAAUUUUUGAAAAAUGACAGGAAAGUGUAAAAAUUUUGGAUUUUUUUGGAUUUUUUCAUUUGCAAUUUUUUUGAUCUUUUUGUUUUUGAAAAUUUUGUGAAAGAAAAUAUAACUAGGCCCUACUUGCUUCAUUUUUCACCCUGUUUUCCCAAGCAUCGGUCCAUCAAAUGACCUUUUUACCUUAAAAGAUGCGGUAGGUAUCACAUAAGGAUGAUUUAAUGUCUUUUUGGGCCACGAACCCAUUUUUGAUAAAAUUUGGAUAGGUUUCCUACAAAGGGAUACGGCGCCUGGGACCGAAUCCUAUUAGGAGUAAAUGAUAUGAUGCAAAUAAAAAUGACCUAAAGGAGGACCUAAGUUUGUGGUUCACUAACAAGGCAAUUCGGGGCCGCACGUGGUCGAUGACGGCUGCUCUAGCUCUCCGCCCGCUCCAUGCUCUCACGCCACCCCCUAAAGAUACGAAUGACUCACAAAAACGCCGUGUACGCUCAAACGUACUCCUGAAGACUUGUUGUAGAAAGAAGACCUAUGCAAAUGAUGAUAGUUUUAAAGUAGUAAAUACAUAAGGAAAUGUGAUAAACAAAUAACCAACAAAACAAGGAAAUAAGACAAACAAAGCAAAUAAAGAAAACAAACACAUCAAUUGAAUAUCCUAUAAGCCAACAAGAUCAAGUAUCAGCUAAAACCUACAAGUCUCUUCAGCAGAGUUGCCAGAGAUGUCACACCCCUUUUUUUUUAACAAACCUCACACCCUCUUAAAAUAAAUAAAAAAAUUUAGUAGAAGGUUGGACAAGGUUUUCAAUUUUGAAUGUGACAAAAAUGGUGUCAAAAUGAUUAACUCAGAGUCACCACCUAACAUUUGAUUUCGGUGUGUUUGGUCACUAUUUUUUUUCUAAAAAAAUAAUCUUUCCUUUCAAAACGCUUGAGACUACAAGGUGGUGAGGAAGGAAGCGAAACUGGCGGUCACGGAAGCUAAAAAUGCAGCAUUUGGGCCCAUGUACGAGAAAUUGGGGGAGAAAGGAGGGGACAGGAAGUUAUUCCGGUUGGCUAAGGUGAGGGAGAGGAAAGCGCGGGAUCUAGACCAAGUUAGGUGCAUCAAGGACGAGGAUGGUAGAGUUUUGACGAGGGGAGUCUCAAGUCAAGCGGAGGUGGCAGUAGAACUUUAGAGACCUGCUUAACAAGGAGGGGGAUCGAGACAUAGAGCUAGGGGAGCUGGGGCAUUCAUAUUUUCAUAGAGACCUCGGGCACUGCAGGCGCAUUAAGGAGGAAGAGGUGAUAAGGGCGUUGUGUUGGAUGAGUAGGGGUAGAUCGACUGGGCCAGACGAAAUUCUGGUGUAGUUCUGGAAAUGCAUGGGUAGUUCAGGAGUUGAGUGGUUGUCCAGGUUGUUCAAUGUGAUCUUUUGGAAUAAGAGAAUACCGGAGGAGUGGAGAUGGAGUACUAUGGUGCCCUUGUACAAAAGCAAAGGGGAUAUACAGUGUUGCAACAACUAUAGUGGUAUCAAAUUGAUAAGUCACGCCAUGAAAGUCUGGUAGAGGGUGAUCGAGGCAACGGUGAGGGAGAUGUCCUCUAUAUCCGUGAACCAGUUCGGUUUCAUGCCGGGUCGCUCUUCUACAGAAGCUAUCCACCUUGUGAGGAGAAUGGUGGAACAAUUCAAGGAUAAGAGGAAGGACCUGCAUAUGGUGUUUAUCGACUUGGCGAAGGCGUACGAUAAGGUCCCUAGAGAGGUGCUAUGGAGAUGCUUGGAGGUGAAGAGUGUUCCAGAAGCCUACAUCAUAGUGAUCAAGGACAUGUAUGAUGGAGCUAAGACUAGGGUUAGGACGGUGGGUGGCGACUCAGANNNNNNNNNNNNNNNNNNNNNNNNNNNNNNNNNNNNNNNNNNNNNNNNNNNNNNNNNNNNNNNNNNNNNNNNNNNNNNNNNNNNNNNNNNNNNNNNNNNNNNNNNNNNNNNNNNNNNNNNNNNNNNNNNNNUCGGCAGAUUAAAUAGAUGUACCAUUUUCAGAUGGUUAUGGGGCUACAUCAAGGAUCUGCGCUAAGCCCUAUCUUAUUUGCCUUGGUGAUGGAUGCUCUAACUCGUCAUAUUCAUGGGGAUAUGCCUUGGUGUAUGCUAUUUUUUCAUGACAUAGUCUUGAUAGACUAGACGAGUGCUGGUGUUAAUGAGGUUUGAGGUUUGGAGACAGACCCUCGAGUAUAAGGGUUUCAAACUAAGCAGGUCUAAGACAGAAUAUCUGGAGUGCAGGUUUAGUGCCGAGUCGAGCAAAGUAGGCUGGGACGUGAAGCUUGGAUAUCAGGUCAUAGCCAAGACAAACAGUUUCAGAUAUCUUGGGUUGGUGAUUCAAGGGGUGAGAGAUCGACAGGGAUGUCACUCGUCGUAUAGGAGCGGGGUGGUUGAAGUGGAGGCUCGCAUCAGGAGUCUUAUGUGACAAGAAAGUUCCACAGAAACUCAAGGGGGAGUUUUAUAGAGCGGAGGUUAGACCUGCCAUGUUGUGUGGGGCGGAGUGCUUGCCAAUGAAGAACUCUCAUGUCAAGAGAAUGAAAGUUGCGGAUCUGAGGAUGCUCAAGUGGAUGUGUGGGCUCACCAGGCUAGAUAAGAUUAAGAAUGAAGUUAUUCGGAAGAAGGUGGUGGUGGCCCUAGUGGAUGAGAAGAUGCGAGAAGCGAGACUCAGGUGGUUUGGGCAUGUGAGGAGGAGGAUCCCUGAUGCCCGGUGAGGAGUUGUGAGCGACUGGCGGUGGUUGGCGCGAGUCGAGAUAUAGGGAGGCCUAAGAGGUAUUAGGGUGAGGUGAUUAGGCAGGAUAUGGCUAGAAUGAGGAUUUCCGAGGACAUGGCCCUUGAUAGGAAAGUCUGGAAGUCUAGCAUUAGGGUUGUAGGAUAGGGGCUUCUAGAAUUUUUAGUACUUUUGUCCGGGGCUAGGUGGGGUCUGGUAGGGCUCUCUAUAGUUGAUUUAUGUCUUGUAUUGUGCCUCUUAUGGUAGUGAACGGUUGGUAUUAAUGCAUAUCAUUUUAUCCUUGGUGUUAUGUUUAGAUAAUUAUAAACGUGAUUUAUGCCGGAUUUACUAAUGUUAUUUUAUUUUGUUUGUUUGAUUUUCUCUCCCUUUCUCUGAGCCGAGGGUCGGUUCGGAAACAGCCUCUCCACCCUUUCGGGUAGGGGUAAGGCCUGUGUACGUAUUACCCUCCCCAGACCCCACUUUGUAGGAAUAUACUGGGUAGUUGUUGUUGUUGUUGUUUUAACUUAUAAUAAAAUUAACUUAUAAUUUUACAUAAAAAUAAUAAAUGUACAAAAAUUAUUUUAUCAAAAUUAUACACCAAAGUUAAGAUAUAAUAUUAAUAUUAUAAAGAUAUUAUAAACAUAAUUAUUAUAUAUAAAGAGUUAAAAUAAAAGAUUUUAAAUAAUUUAAAUAAUAAUAAAAUAUGGGUGAAUAGUAAUGGGGGAGAUAAAUAGUGUACCCCAUAUUUGAGGGAACACUAUUCAUUCCCCAUUACUAUUACAAAUAUAGGGAAGGGUUGGAGCAAAAUGCCCCCAUUUUUCUUCCCAUUAUGGGGGAUGGGGGCCAGGUUGAAGAUGCCUUUACGGAAGUGGACAAAAAUAAAAAGGGUAUAAGGGGUGGAAAUAGGAAUAAAGAUGAUCUAUUUAGAAAGCCACAUUUCGUGGAUGAGAAGUAAAUAAAUAAAAUAAAAAUAUACUAAAAAUUUUAAUGAAGAGAGUGAUACGUGGAUAUUUAAAAAGGGAAAUAACCACUUUGGCUUUUCUUAUUUUGGUUUUGCUGUUACUCUUUCCGUUUUCUUUUUCCUUUCGCUUUCUUUCAUUUUUUUCUUUAAAGGAGGGAUAAGAAAUAGCUUCACAAAAUACUAGUUAUCUAAGAAAAGAUAAAAAUAUUAAGAAGAGAAAAUAACGUAAUUACAUCAAAAAAAUCUAAAUAUUACUCAAUAUAUAUACUAAAAUCUAUAACUUUAUAAAUAAACAAAACAAACAUAAAAUAUAGUACUAUUUUUGUAUUUUUAAAAUUUUAUGAAAAGUAAUUUAAACUAAAAGUAACUAGAUAAAAUAUCAAUUACCUAAAUAACAAAAAUAUUUUUGUGCUAAAAUAAAUUGAAAGAGUCAAAACGAAUUGAAAUAGCGCUAUUAGGCUUAAACUAAAUAUUUAAAUGCUAAACUGAGUAAAAAAUCUGGGAGGGUCAAAAAAUUACAUGUCUACACUUUGCUCGUUAGUUUGGGGGACGAGUAGCUCUGUAUGAUGUAUUAGGAAUUGUGUACAAAAUUUGAGUUCAUUCCGAGUUGAAUUGAUAUGUUUUAGCGCGAGUGUUUGGAAGUCAAAAGUUCAAAAGCUUACUAAGUUUGAUUUGAGGCGUGUUUCAUCGUUUUGAUGUUAUUAUGCGUGAUUUCAAGCCUCGAGUAAGUCUGUGUUGUGUUAUGGGGCUAGUUAGUAUGUUCGUACGGGGUCCCGAGGGGCUCAUGUGAGUUUCGAAUAAGUUUGGGUUGUGUUGCACUCGUUUUUAUUAUGUUUUGACAUUGUUUCUUAAAAAAUUAAUGGAACCACAUUGAACAAAUGAGCUCCGAUUUCUGUUUUUGUUUGAAGUAUUAGAUCCAUAUACGUAACGACCCGACCGGUCGUUUUGAGCCCUAGCGCGUCAUUCAGCAGUCUGAGGCCAUGAGCAGCUUCAUUUCAGGUAUUGGGACUUGUACGUGUGGUCGGAAUUAAAUUUUGGGAAGUCCUGAGUUGAUUUGAAGGAAAAUUUUUGUUUCGAAAGCUUAAAGUUGAAAGAAUAAACUAGGAUUAGAAUUUUUAGUAAAAGACAUCGGAAUCGAGAUUUGAAGGUUCCAGCAAGUUCGUAUGAUGAUUUCGGACUUGGGUGUAUGCCCGGUCCAGGUUUUUGGAUGACCCGGGAGCGUUUUGGCACCUAUUGUGGAAGUUGGCAUUUUGGAAGAAAUUUAUUUAGUUUGGCUUGAAGUGCAUUUCAAUGUUAUCGAUAUCCAUUUGGGAUUCCGAGUUGGUGAAUGGCUCUGCUUGGUGAUUCUGGAGUACGGGGCGCGAUCAGAAGUGAAUUUAGAGGUCCAUUGGUCAUUUUGAAGCCAUUUGGUUAAAGAUAGAAGUUUUGAGAUUUUUGAGAAGUUUUACUGGAAGUGGACUUUUUGAUAUCGAGGUCGGAAUCCAAUUUCAAAAGCUGGAGUAGGUCUGUGAUGCCGAAUAUGACUUGUGUGCAAAAUUUUAGGACAAUCCGACAUGAUUUGAUAGGUUUAAACAGCACAAGUAGAAGUUUGAAAGUUUAAAGUUCAUAAAGCUUGAAUCGGAGUGUAAUUCAUGGGUUUAGCAUUGUUUGAUAUGAUUUGAGCGUUCGAACAAUUCUGUAAUGUGUUUUGAAAUAUGUUGGGAGGUUUGGUUGAGGUCCCGGGCGCCUCGGGUAGAUUCCGGGUGGUUAACGGAUCGAAUUCAGAGUUUGAAAAAGGGCUGGGGCUGCUGCUUCUGGUAUUUCCGCUUCGCGGAUUUGGGACCACAGAAGCGGCCCUGCAAAAGCGAAGAAGAAGCCGCACAAGCGACUUGAGGUGAAGCAGCCCAGGACCGCAAAAGCGGCCCAAGAUUCGCAAAAGUGGAACCACAUAUGCGGUGGGCCGUCCACAAAAGCAGAAAUUAGGCUGCAGCCCAGGAUCGCAGAAGCGGUGUUUGAUCCGUAUAAGUAAGACUGCGGAAGCAGAAGCAGCCGAGGCAGUGAGGUCUUUAAAAAUUCGGAGUUGAGUUCAUUUCAACCUCAUAAUUCUUCCAUUGGAGUCGAUGGGCAGCAGCUUGGAGGUUCCAAUUUUGUUACUUGUCAUGAGGUAAGUAAUUUAUGCUAGCUUUUAGUUAAAUACAAGGUUACACAUGGAUUUAGACUUGGAAAAAUUGUAGAAAAUUGAGGUUUUGGUGGAAAAACGAAAUUUACAUUUCUUGGAAUUUAACCACGGUUUCGGGUAUGGAAUGUAGAGAAAAUUAUAUAUUUGAGUUCCUAAGGUCAUGGGCAAGUUUAUCUUCAAAAAAUUUCGGAUUCCGGGCAUGUGGGUUCGAGGGCAUUUUUGUCAACUUUUCGAUCGGGGUUAGGAAUUGUAAUAAAUUGGAUUAUAAUGAAUACCUUUAGCAUAUAUUAAUGGAUUUAUAUAACCACUGGUUAGUGUUGGAUCAUUGUAUGUUGGUUCAAGUCUUCGGAAGAAUGUAGAUUGUCGGUUAUGGGUCUUCGGAGAGAGGUGACUCUCCUUACUAACCUUAUAAGAGGGAAUUGUCCCACUAGGUGAAAUAAUUGAUUAUGUGCUCUGAUUUGCGGGGGAUACGUAUGCACGAGGUGACGAGAGUCCGUACAUAACUACUAUUAUGCUAUUGUUCGGGAAAUUAGGACCCAAAAGCAUGUUAUACUUGGAUUAUUUAUGAACUCAUUGAUAGCUUGAAUUGCUUAAAUUACAUUGAAUCAGUAAGUGAAUUUCUAGAGGAAUAAACUUCAUUUCUUAAAAUUUGUUAAAGGAGAAUUGGUUUUAUUUGGAUAAAUAUUCCCCGAUAAGUUCUUACUUGACUGACUGUGCAUGUAACCUUAUAUGUACAUGUGUCGCAUGCAUGAUUCGCGAGCAGGGUAUGUAUUUAUUUAUGGAACAUACCAAACGACUCGGCAGAUUAAAUAGAUGCAUCUAUGGUUCGGGCCGUUUGACCCUCGACAGUGCACAGUCUACAUUUCUGUUGGAGCGUGCCGUCAACCUCGACAUGAUAUGCGCAUGUUUAUAAUGUUUACCUAAAAUACUUGAUGUAGAUAUCGCCUUUUUGGUCUGACAUAAAUUGGUAAGGAUAAAUGAAAAGAAACCUUGAAAAUCUAUUGUUAAUUGUUAAAGGUGAUUACCUGUUUUAGAGAUUUGCGAGUUAGAGCGUGUUAUUUAAAAUUCUUGAUUUCCUCACAUUUUAAUAUAUUAUUUUGACCACUAGCAAGUGUUAAAGUCGACCUCUUGUCUCUACUUCUGCGAGAUUAGACGGGAUACUUGCUGAAUACACAUUGUUUUCAUACUCAUACUACACUUGAUGUGCAUUUUUGUUGCACAGGUUUGUUGUGUGGCUAGUGGCUUAGUGGCAUAGUAUCAUGGUUGACGCAGAGACUAGGUGAUUUGUAUUUCCUCGAGGCGGUUCCGCACCUAGUAUAGUCUCUGUAAGGAUUCUAUUUACUUCGGUCCAAUUGUAUUCGGGACAGUUAUUGUGCUUAUUUGGUAUUUCUUAGAAAUCGCUUAUGUACUUGUGAUACCGGGUUCUGGGGAUGUUUUGGAUUUAUUCGAAAAUUAUAAAAGAUGUUUUAAUAUUUCAUUAUUCAUUCGGAGGAAUAUACUGGGUAUAGUGUUAAUUAAAUAAAGAAGUAAUUAAAAAUUAUUAAAAUAAGAAUUUAAUAAAAUAUUUCGGUUUGCUUGCCUGACAACGGUGUUCGGCGCCAACACGACUCUUAGAGGAUUUUGGGACGUGACAACGUGGUAUCAGAGCACUAGGUUCCCGUUGGUCUCGCGAGUCAUGAAUAAGUCUAGUAGAGUCUCGUGGAUCGAUACGGAGACUGUACUUAUCCUCGGGAGGCUACAGGGCUGUUAGGGGUACUUCCCUUCUUGAUUCCCUUUUUUUGGGGUUUGAUUCCUUUUAGGCUUAUGCCUUUGAUUCCUACUCAAUAUUACGUGACGCGAGCGCUUAUUAGAAAUCGAGAAUUUGAAGGAUUGAAGUGGCACUGCAAUGUGGUGUGGGAUGAUUCUCCCGGUAUAGUUGUUUGGACUAUUAUAGUCGUCUUUUAGAAGGAUAUUUUAUUGUUUCAACUCAGUAACAGAACUUCUAAGAGCCUUGAGGCUAGGUACAGGUAGCCAUAAUGCUUAUGAGCGAUUAUUUUGUAGUAUUGUUGUGAUGGUAGGAUGUUUGCCCACGUGUCGGGGCAGUGAAUGACUUGAACAGAGGUUUACUCAGUGUGUAAUCAAGGGAUUCGGUAUUUUAUUCCCGGCAUGGGAAAGGCAGUCGGACUAAGAAUGGUCACAUGUGGGCUAGUGGAAGUAAUGAGACUUGGUAUUUGCAAGCAUGGUGGAGCUUUCUUUUAUGAGGGGUGUCGUGGUCCUGAUUGAACGUACUAAGUUCGUCGGCAUGAUAAUUUGCUACAAUUCUCCUAGGUUAAGAUAUUGUGAAAUAGCAUUAGAGAUACAACUAUCAGAUAUGGCAUGGUGCGGUGGUUUAGGAUCGAAUCAGAAUUUCUAAAUGUUGACGGAUCGAUAAAGAUGACCUUCAGAAAGGCUUAAAGUUAGCAGCAAUUGUGGGUUCAAGUGCCACGAAUAUAGGGUUUAUUUAAGGCAGCAAAGUUUGACGAAAGACAUGUGGGAAGUGCCAGGCAGUGUCUAAAAUUUCUAGAAGGCCAAGUAUAUGAAGCAAAGGUCAAGUAGUUGAUUAAAGAAGCGAGUUUGCCCAAAGUGGGAGAUUGGCGUAUGUUGCAUAUGGGCUUGGUAGUAGGAUGACUAUGCGCCUAAGGAGAGUUUGGAAUGAUCUGGUAUUUUUGCGACUAGCAAUUUAAGUCUUCGAGUUUAAGUUGAAGUGUGGGUUUCUAUGGCAGGAGAUUUGGUAUAACGGAAAUGAGCUGCUUGGAAUGAAGAAUGAUGCAACAUAACCUUGAUUUGGAAGGAUAUUUCCGCACCUUUAAUCGAUGUCUAUGAGGGGUAAAUGGACCGGUGUAGCUUUAAAGUGUGCUUGUACUCGGGAUUGGUUACUGAUGUCAUGGGAUUGUACCCCAUGCGGUGGUAUUGGAAGAUGUCGGGAAGUGAUUUCUACAGGUGGGGCAUCCCCUGUGAGCAGAUUAGCGGUCGCGUGGUUGACGAAGGCUCUGCAAAGAAUUCUAUCGGUUGUCUAGAAAAGAGAUCAGUUAUACGAAUAUGGUUGAUGAUUCAGCAUUCAGAGAGGGGAAUUCUGGCUGCUGAUUCCGCAAGGUUAUGGCGAUAAGAGGUAAAGAAUUCGGGUGAAUUCCAGCGUUGUGUGUUAAUGGCUUCAAGCUAAGUGGCAGAGCCACGUCGAUUAUGAUUUGGGUUGCAUGGUUAUCUACUUGCGAGGUUUCCAGUUAUUAAUACGUUAAUGGGUUAUCUCAGCUGCGGAAAAAGACCAUAAGUGGUAAAUUGAGUAGAUGAAUUGUUGGAAGCAUGUUAUGGUUGGCCUUGUUGGUUCAUGUUCGAACUUGGGAAAAGAUUUAGGAUUUAUGCCUUGUAUAGAUGCAGGUUUCAAAGCAAGUGAUUUCACCGGGUGCUUCAUCGAGAGGGUAUUCAUGUGUUAUAAGAUUUAUGGAGUGGAUUAUAUCCAAGACCAAGUCAGAGUGGGUGGCUCUCAGUAAUGGUCCUAGUGAAUUCAGAAGUUAAGCUGUGAUGCCUAACGAUUUCGAGCCUAUAGGCACGACUAAAAAUCAAGCUUGGAAAGAAGCUUUUGAGACGAGGAACAGAAUAUUUUGUGAUGUUUGUCUUGCGAUGUAGCAAAUGGAAGGUAUGAAAUGGUUCGCGGGAUUUGAGAAAGCAUGGUCUCGUGAUUCGCGGUCACUCGGGGUGAGUGCGGUAGGAGUAUUUUAUGUAUUGAAUGAAGUUAAUAUUAUUUUUAAGGCAAUCCAGGACAAUUUGGAAGGAAGUAGAUUGAUUAGCCAUGGUUGACCUGGCAUAUUGGUGGAAGGGAUCAGUUCAUUCAGCGCGAUUAAGUUAUGCAUGUUAUUUGUGACAGUACGUAUUAGGAUUGUCGACCGUCGUAAUUGAUGUUGUUCAAAAGAAUCCUUCUGUUAUGGCAUGUUAUGUGUAGGCGGAUCCCAUAAGCGCUAUGGUGGCUUGGACCACUACUUAAAGAUUUGCAUAUCCUACGGUUAUGGGAAUAUACCUGUAUGUUGCUAUGUUUCUCCUGAAGUGAGUUAAGUGUAAAGCUCUUAUAUGAUGAAGUGUAAAAAUAUUAAUUGUUUCGGAGUCAUGAUGAAAAUUGUGUUCUAUCGUAUAUUGGCGCGUUGGGUGUAGUGCGUAGCAUGGAAAUUCGAUGUGAGGAUCAAGGUUGCAGUUUGGUGCUGGUAAGGAUGUCACGAGCUCGAAUGAGCAAGAAAGGGUUGAUUGUUUAAAGUAAAUUGGAAUUGUCUUCACCGUCACCUCAGAUCGAUGUGUCGUGAAUGAGUCUUUGCAUCCUGGUUAAGGGUUCUUGAUCAGUUUUCAGCAUUAGUGCGGUUGGUGGUUUAGAUGUGCGGGCCAGUUAUUUAUUUCAGAAGGUUGUGGGAGCGUGUCCCACGGGAAUAUGGUAUAAGUAUGGAAUCUAGUCACUUGAUUGACUAAAGAUUUAAACCAAAUAGGAGGAUUGUGGUAAUAUCGUGGAAUUGAGAAUUUAUGCCUAGAGGGCACUUUACUUAUUGGGUUAUGGACUGAGGAGGUUGCUCCGGUUAUGAUGGUUGUCCUUAUAUGUUAUGAGGAAAGGUUAUUUACCAUGGAUCUUUGAAAGGUUAUUAGCCAAGUUGGUGCAAUCCGAAAUCGGCAUGAGAUCAGUGUUCGUUCUAGCGAGUGUUCCUUUUAGAGGAAUAACCGGGGUGUUAUUUUGUCAUCGGCUAUUCCAGGUAAUGAUUUAUUGCACCGUAUGACUUAUGAGACAGCUUGGUAAAUUUCUUAUGGGUUGAGGUUCCACGUGGCGAUGAUGUUAUAUGAGCAGAAUGGCUCUUGAGAUUCAGAUCUUGUAAUGCACCUCACUCAUACUUGAUUUUUAUAGCCUAUAGCGCUAUGUGAUCCCUCAGGAAUGGUAUAUACACUUGUGUUUAUGACUGAUAUUCGGUAUUUUGUCGUAAUGAGCGAUUUGGCUCGAUGUGCAAUCUCCUUAUGUGAGAUCUAUGUUUGGAUCGGGUGGCAUGAUGCCAUGGGUAUGUCAGUUGGAUCAGGUUGCGCGUCGAAACAGUGUGAUGUUGAGUAUAGCUAUCUUUAUGCUAUUUUUGUGUGUCUCGCUUCCUAUCUUCUAAAGAAAGUCUGUAUUAGUGCGGGAGUUAGGUGAUUCAUUCCAGAGUUCCUUUUCCUUUGUAUCGCGUUCGGAUUGGUGGCCUAUUGGCACAUUGGGACAUCAUAUGAUACUUUUGAUCGCAUUUGGAUGGCUUAUUUCCUGAGUAGUUCAUACUGGGCGAGAUGAGAUUAUUGGAUUUAGGAUCAGUGCAAUAUGAUUAUAUAAAGUAUAUUAAGGAGCAAAGAUCAUUUUUUUGGUUCAGCAUGGGGUAAUGUUUCUUGUCAAAAGUAUUGACUCAACGAUUAAUUGACUCGGCAGUAGAUUAUGAAUUUUUUCGCAUCUCUUCCAUUGUGGAGGCAUGGUAAGAACUAAAGUAAGACCUGUGUAUGUUAUAGGGUGCAAUGGGAGCAUCUGAUUCGUUAAAUGUUGGCUAUGUUGAUCAAAAAAUAUUAUUGUGGUCCGGUGAGUAAAGUGACGUAGGGUGGGAAUUCAGCAAGGUUAUGCAGUAAUGUUGCGUACAUUGUGUGGUGACUGAUUUGGUGAUCUUAUGUUGAAAACGGGCCGGGCGCAAAAUUCUGGAUGUUAGAAUUGGGCUCCAAGGCUUAUUUGCUUGAAUAAAAGGGAAUAUCUUCAGAAUUUAUCGAGCCACUGUGCUCAAUUGAGCUGUGGUAGCACGGGAAGGUGCAUGAGAUGUUAAACAGUAAUUUCAUACGACUUCAGUAUAGUUCUCAGCACGUUCGAGGACGAACGUAUGUUUAAGUGGGAGAGAAUGUAACAACCUGAUUAGUUGUUUUCAGCCCUAGCACGUCGCUCCGUAGUCUAAGGCCAUGAGCAUCUUCAUUUCAAAUAUUGGGACUUGUACAUAUGGUUGGAAUUGAAUUUCAGGAAGUCGUGAGUUGAUUUGGAAGGAAAAUUCUUGUUUCGGAAGCUUAAAGUUGAAAGAAUGAACUAGGUUUGGAAUUUUUAGCAAAAAACAUCGGAAUCGGGAUCUGAAGGUUCCGCCAAGUUUGUAUGAUGAUUUCGGCCUUGGGCAUGCCUGGACAGGGUUUUUGGAUAACUCGGGAACUGUGGAAGUUGGCAUUUUGGAAGAAAUUUCUUCAGUUUGGCUUGAAGUGUAUUUCAGUGUUAUCGAUGUUCGUUUGGGAUUCCGAGUUUGUGAAUAGAUCCGCAUGGUGAUUCUGGAAUUGGGGGCGCGAUCGAAAGUGAAUUCGGAGGACCGUAGGUCAUUUUGAAGCCAUUUGACUAAAGAUAGAAAUUUAGAGGUUUUUGAGAAGUUUGACCGGAAGUGGACUUUUUUAUAUUGUGGUCAGAAUCCAAUUCUGGAAGCUGGGGUAGGUCCGUAAUGUCAAAUAUGACGUUUGUGCAAAAUUUUAGGUCAAUCGGUCGUGAUUUGAUAGGUUUAAACAUCAGAAGUAAAAAUUUGAAAGUUCAACGUUCAUAAAGCUUGAAUCGGAGUGUAAUUCAUGGUUUUUGCAUUGUUUGAUAUGAUUUAAAGCCUCGAGCAAGUCCAUAAUGUGUUUUGGGAUUUGUUGGUAGGUUUGGUUGAGGUCCCGGGUGCCUCGGGUGGACUCCAUGUGGUUAAUGGAUCGAAUUAUGAGUUUGAAGAAGGGUUGGGGCUGCUGCUUCUAGCAUUUCCGCUUCUGCGGAUUUGGGACAACAGAAGCAGCCCCGUAGAAGCGAAGAAGAAGUCGCAGAAGCGGCUGGAGGUGAAGCAGCCCAGGACCAUAGAAACGGCCCAAGAUCCGCAUUAGUGUUGGGCCAUCCGCAGAAGCAAAAAUUGGGCUGGAGCUCAGGACCGCAGAAGCGUCGUUUUGUCCGUAAAAGCGGGACCGCGGAAGCAGCUGAGGCAAUAAGGUCAUUAAAAGUACGGGGUUGAGUUCAUUUCAACCCCAUUUUUCUUCCAUUAGAGUCGAUAAGGAGUAGUAGGAGGUUCCAUUUUUGUCACUUGUCAUGUGGUAAGUAAUUUAUACUAGCUUUGAGUUAAAUACAAGGUUUAUACAUGGAUUUAGACUUGGAAAAAUUGUAGAAAAUUGAGGUUUUGGUUGAAAACCUAGAGAUUUACAUUUCUUGGAAAAUUUGACCAUGAUUUCGGGUAUGGAAUUUAGAGAAAAGUAUAUAUUUGAGUUUCUAAGGUCAUGGGAAAAGUUUAUCUUCGAAAAAUUUUGAACUUUGGGCACAUAGGCCCGAGGGUAUUUUUGUCAACUUUUUUAUCGGGGUUAGGAAUAGUUAUAAAUUGGAUUAUAAUGAAUACCUUCGCAUGUAUUAAUGGAUUUGUAUAACCAUUGGCUGUCUUGGAGCAUUAUGCGUUGGUUCAAGUCUUCGGAAGUAUGUAAAAUGCUAGUUAUGGCUCUUUGGAGCGAGGUGAGUCUCCUUUCUAACCUUGUAAGAGGAAAUUGUUCACAUAGGUGAAAUAAUUGAUUAUGUGCUCCUAUUUGCAGGGGCUACGUACGCACGAGGUGAUGAGAGUCCGUGCGUAGCUACUAUUAUGCUAUUAUUCGGGUAGUUAGGGCCCAAAAGUAUGUUAUACUUGGAUUAUUUAUAAACCCAUUGAUAACUUGAGUUGCUUAAAUCACAUUAAAUCACUAAGUGAAAUUCUAAAAGGAAUAAACUUCACUUCUUAAAAUUUGUUAAAGGAGAAUUGGUUUUAUUUGGAUAAAUAUUCCCCGAUAAGUUCUUACUUGACAGAUUGAGCAUGUAUCCUUAUGUGUCCAUGCGUCGCAUGCAUGAUUCGCGAGCAGAGUAUAUUUUUAUUUAUGGAACGGGCCAAACGUCUCGGCAUAUUAAAUUGAUGCAUCUAUGGUUCGAGCCAUUCGACCCUCGGCAGUGCACACUGUUGGAGCGGGUCGUCGACCUCGGCAUGAUAAGUGUAUGUUUAUACUAUUUACCUGAAAUACUUGAUGUUGAUAUCUCCUUUUUGGCCUCACAUAAAUUGCUAAGGAUAAAUGAAAAGAAACCUUGAAAAUCCAUUGUUAAUUUUUAAAGGUGAUAACCUAUUUUACAGCUUCGCGAGUUAGAGCCUACUAUAUAAAAUUCUUGAUUUUCUCACAUUUUAAUAUAUUAUUAUUUGACCACUAGCAAAUGUUAAAGUCGACCUCUCGUCUCUACUUCUUUGAGAUUAGACGGGAUAUUUGCUGACUACACGUUGUUUUUGUACUCAUACUACACUUGCUUCACAUUUUUGUUGUACAGGUUUGUUGUGUGGCUAGUGGCUUAGUGGCAUAGUAGCAUGGUUGACGCAGAGACUAGGUAAGUUGUAUUUCCUCGAGACGGUUCCGCAGCAUAUAUAGUCUCUUUCAGAAUUCUAUUUACUUCUUUCCAAUUGUAUUCCUUAGAAUUAUUGUACUUAUUUGGUAUUUCUUAGAAAAUCACUCAUGUACUUUAGACACCAGGUUCUGGGAUGUAUUUGAAUUUAUUCGGAAAUUAUAAAAAUGUUUAAAUAUUUUAUUAUUCAUUCUGAGGAAUAUACUGAGUACUGUGUUAAUUUUAUAAAAGAAGUGUUUUUAAAAUUAUUAAAACAAGAAUUUAAUUAAGUAUUUCAGCUAUCUUGCCUGACAACAGUGUGUGGCGCCACCACGGCCAUUAAAGAAUUUUGGGUUAUGACAAUAUCAUAAUCACGGAGUCAUAACAAAAAGAAUCACCGAAUUUAAAUCGUAUGGGAAUUAUAUGGUAAUUUUACUAAGAAUGGGGUUGCCAAAUUUUUUUAGAUUAAUUAGGAUAUUGCCAUUGACUUCGUAUUUUAAAAUCUGGAUUAUUUCCAAAUACUGAAACCAAUAUAUCUCCUUCAUUAUAAGGUCAAAUGGAGUAAUUCAAAAGUUUACUUGACUGAAAUUUCAUAAUGAAUCCAUUAGAGAUAUCAAAAGUAAGUUUCGAAAUCGUUUGGUAUGCAAAACGAGGCAGAACAAUUGGGCACAAAUACUUAAUAUUGAAGAUUUGUUCAUUUGGUCAUAUUUUGAGUUAGGGAGCUCGGAUUUGGAUAAUUUUUGGAGCCGAUAUUUACCAUACGGAUUUGGGUAAGUGUUUAAUACAUGAUUUUAGUUAUAUUUUAUGAAUCCAUAUUUAUUUUUGGAAUGACUGAUGAUCUCAAAGUGAAUUUUGGGGGUUUUGUCUAAAAUUUUAUAAAGUGAAUUUUUGAGUUUUGAACAUCGAUUCGGAGUUAGAUUGAGUGAAACUAGAAUGGUUGGACUCAUAAUUGAAUGAGUUAUUGGAUUUUGUGAGUUUUCUCAAGUUCUGAGGCGCGGGUUCGGGUUUGACUUUUGGUCGAUUUUGUAAUUUUGAUUAAAGAUUCGACCUUUAUCGACUGGGUUUGUUUUUUUUUUUUUUUUUUUGUUAUUUGAUGUAUUUGAGUUUCUUUUGGAUAUUUUCGAGCCAUUCAGAGGUCGAGGACAUUUUUGAAGCAUCAUUUGGCUUACUGGGUAUUGGAUAUAGCUUGUUCGAGGUAAAUAACACUUUUAAACUUGGUGCUAAGGGUAUGAAACCCCGAAUUAUGUAGUAUGUGUUUGGUUUUGUGACGACUCACAUGCUAGAUGACUGGCGUGUGGGUGUGAAUUGUGCGAAUUGUGACUCAAUUAUUUACUUAGUACUGUGUAGUUACCUGAUCCUAUUUGUAACCAUGAAAUUUCUACGUACUAGAGCUAUUUGAGCUAUGAUCCAUGUUAGAAACCAUGUCUAGGCUACAUGUUUAUCCUAUUGGGACCCACUGAUGUCAUUUCCCUUAUUGAGCUAUCUUCUUUCAUUAUUUUAUAUACUCAGUCAUACGCAUUCAUAUGCAUAUCAUUUCUCAGUCUCUAUUAAUAUUUAUUGACACAUCAUAUCAUCAUUUUGGGCUAGUUUCAUGGCAUUGUGAGCCCGAGAAACUUGAGAGAUUGAUGACUGAGUGAGGCCAAGAACCUUAUUAUGAGUGAUAUUUACGGGAUCCGACUGCAUGCUGCUGCGGUUAUACUGAUUUAUAAUUGCGCUUGGGAUGAAGGAGCCCCUCUGGAGUCUGCACACACUCCCAGUGAGCACAGUUGCUUAUAUUGAGGGAUGGAUCUUCCCAGGAUAUGGAUCUUGUCCAAAGCAUUUAUAUACCUGGGGAUGGAUCUUCCCAGCGGGAAAGAUUUGGCCCUACUCAGUACUGAGUGACUAAUGGUCAGCUGAUGUAUAUAUUCCGGAAUACAUCUUCCCUGGUUCGAAUUGUAUACUAAGUGAUUGAGCAUGAUGAGUGAAAAGUGUGAGACAGUAAGAUUGAGUACUCUGAGAGUGUGAGUACAUGAGUUCAUAUAUGAGAUAUAUUGCAUUGACAUGCACACAUGAUAUACAGGCAUAGAGAUGCAUUUUUCUCAUGAUGUACAGUAUCACAUCAUUCAUAAAUUCUCACACAUAUUGACAUAUGAACAUAGAGAGGUAUUUUACACUUGGUAUCUAGAAAGAAAAUAAAACAUCUUAUUUAUUGUUGAAAAGAUUUUUGGAAAAAAUUACAGUUUUCAAACUGACUCGUAUUUUCAACGAUUCCGGUAAAGGAUUUGGAUUUUCACUGAUAUACUUGAAAAGCGAAAUUAUUUUUCGAGAAACUAUGAAAAUUUGAGCAAUUUAUCUCCGAAUUACUUGUUUUAUGUAAUUAUGAACUGUUGUUGGCUAUUGGUGUUGGACCCGACCUUUGUUCCAGCUCGUCAAUACUUUUGUAAGGUUUGUUAAUUAUUGAGUAGAUGGGGUCGGUUGUAUCAUACUAUACUUCUACACCUUGCGUGCAGAUGUUGGCUGCUGAUCUUGCUGUGAUCGAUGGGAGCUGGAAUUGAAGACGUACAUGCGUUCCGGUAGUAGCUAUAUCUUGUUCAUGAUAUUUUUAGAUUCAUAAAAAUGUGUUUAUAUACAUUUCAAACAUAUGUAUGUAUUUCAUAUCAAUUUUAUAAAUUCUAUUUUUAGAAGCUCGUGAUUUGUACUAUCAAUCCUUG